CAAUUACAUAGUGAACCUGAACCCAAAUUAGACUCAUUGUUUAUGUUUUAAUUUGACAGGAGAUCAUCAAAUCAUCCUGACCAGUUCACAAAGACCUCAGAGGUUCCUCCAGGCAAAGAAUGUGAGCUACUGGUCUCCAGACAGACACACAGAGAGUCACCCCAACUGACAGACAGUAUCAGUCAGUCCGGGACAGGUCUGAGAACCAGGACAGCAUCGCUCAGUCACCACGCAUCCUGUGUGUGCAGACACACACCCUACUCUGGACCAACACAGCCAGGAUCCAAACAGCCAUGAAUCUCAGAACCCACAGAGAGAACUAGAGAAGGAGGCAGCUCUGCAGCCCUCAGCCACCCCAGAGGAGACUCAGGGCCCUACACCACCCCCACCAGAUCAUAGCCAUGCUCAGAGCCCUGCACCACCCCCACCAGAUCAUAGCCAGGCUCCGAGCCCUGCACCACCCCCACCAGAUCAUGGCCAGGCUCCGAGCCCUGCACCACUCCCACCAGAUCACAGCCAGGCUCAGAGCCCUACACACCACCCACCAGAUCACAACCAGGCUCAGAGCCCUACACCACUCCACCAAUCAUAGCCAGGCUCAGAGCCCUGCACCACCCCCACCAGAUCAUAGCCAGGCCCGAGCCCUGCACCACCCCCACCAGAUCAUGGCCAGCUCCGAGCCCUGCACCACUCCCACCAGAUCACAGCCAGGCUCAGAGCCCUACACCACUCCCACCAGAUCACAACCAAGGCUAAGAGCCCUACACCACUCCCACCAGAUCAUAGCCAGGCUCAGAGCCCUGCACCACCCCCACCAGAUCAUAGCCAGGCUCAGAGCCCUGCACCACCUUAGAGGUACAGCUGGAGCAGCUCCAGAAAACAGACACAGCUCUUCAGACAUACAGACAGAUGAAAUAAUCUCCCAUGGCAGACAGGUCCAGCAGCAGAGGAACACACGCCCACUGAACACUGUCUCACAAAAUCUACUCAUUGG
rnacentral:lncRNA from 1 species